AGCAGUGUCUGUGACAUAAAGGAGGAGUCAGCAACUCUUCAGGGAAGGAAGUGAGCUUGACCAGGAUUUAGAAAGAUGAAUAUGAUUUUGCCAUUCAGAGACUUUGGGAAAAAAGGACAUAACUAGACCAAGGGGCCCAUCCAGACUGCAUGACAUGAGUGGAGAUGAUUCCUGAGCUCUCUGUUCUACUGGAAUUACCCCAAGAAGUUCUAGAACUACUGCUCUAGAGGACCCCAAUCAUGAGGAUGAUGUCACACCUGAUUGUCUUGAAUGGCUUCAUCCAGGUUAACCAGUCUUCCGGGAACCUGUGUGGAAUCUUCCAGCCACCUUCCAGCAGUGAGGGUCGUGGAAGCAUUAACCUUUCGUCUAAGAAGCUGCGUGCCGAGAUGUUCAUCUCUAACAACUUUGGAGACUCUCCAGUUUUCACAGACGCCUAAUUAGGCAAUUAUUUACGUUUCGUUAUACUCACUCCCAUGGCUCCCUUCUAACAGGCACACUAAUGAAGUUCCUCUGUGACAUCACAGUGCUCCAACUGAUGAAAAAACAAACGAACAAAUGGACUCCGUGCAUGGACACCUAGCCGAGCCUGUGUCUGGGAAGAAUGACAUGCCUUCAGCAUGAAGUAGUGACGAGAAACAGACACGUAAUUAAGGAGG